GGACUGGAUGUGGCUCAGUGGUAGAGCAUCUGCUUGGCACGCAAAGGCCCUAGGUUCGAUCCCCGGCAUCUCCA
rnacentral:tRNA from 1 species